AACGAACGCUGGCGGCAUGCCUAACACAUGCAAGUCGAACGCGUGUAGCAAUACACGAGUGGCGGACGGGUGAGUAACGCGUGGGAACCUGCCCAGUGGUAGGGAAUAACUGCGGGAAACUGCAGCUAAUACCCUAUGAGCCCUACGGGGGAAAGAUUUAUCGCCAUUGGAGGGGCCCGCGUCGGAUUAGCUAGUUGGUAGGGUAAUGGCCUACCAAGGCGACGAUCCGUAGCUGGUCUGAGAGGAUGAUCAGCCACACUGGGACUGAGAUACGGCCCAGACUCCUACGGGAGGCAGCAGUGGGGAAUAUUGGACAAUGGGGGAAACCCUGAUCCAGCAAUGCCGCGUGAGUGAAGAAGGCCUUAGGGUUGUAAAGCUCUUUCGGCGGGGAAGAUGGUGACGGUACCCGCAGAAGAAGCCCCGGCUAACUUCGUGCCAGCAGCCGCGGUAAUACGAAGGGGGCUAGCGUUGUUCGGAAUCACUGGGCGUAAAGGGCGCGUAGGCGGCUUGAC
rnacentral:rRNA from 1 species